CUCCUCUUCCGCCGCCGCCGGGCCCGCCCGCCGCCAUGGCGGCGCCUCCCGCGGCGCCCGCCUGCCCGUGACGGCCGCAGCGCCGGGCGGGCGAGAGCGUCUCUGGGAAAGCCAUCUGGGAGCCUGAGAAGGUACUAUAGAUGUGACUGAAUGCUGCCAUGAGAGUCCAGCCAUAGAAACAUUCCCGACUGGUGCUUCACUGAAGCUGUUGACCCCUGCUUGUAAGUCAUCCUCAGUUCACAGCACAAAGUUUUGAACCUUCCCUGGUGCGGACUGGACUCUGCUAGUGAAAGCUGGGACUUGAUCCAGCAACUUUGAUCCUCCAAGAAAAGAGGGAAUGCAGCAUCACGUACAGCUAAUUUAGUGGCGUUCACCCAGAGUACAGCUCAAGUCCUAACGCGGGCCUGGCUACAUGACCCCAGCUGCUGUGCACAGAGAGCCUCCCACCUUCCCAAAGCUGGAUUCCUCUAUUUGGCAUCCAGGAGCCUUUUCGCAAGCUUCAGAAAAGACUUGGCACACAGUACAUGUGGAAAAGAGAAGGGGAAGAAAAAAGCAAGAAAAAAGGAAAGAAAAAAAGCAUAUGUCCCUUUGAUUGUUUCUAAGGCAACAGGAUAAAACUGAGAGAUCCAAUGUUAUAAGACCAGACUUAUAACUCCUGGACUUUCUGAGACCUCACAGAGCCCCUUGUCUUUCCAUUCAGUGAAGGAGAAAUUUUUGCAAGGGAUCAUCACAUGAAGGCAGUAGGAUCCAGGUUCAGAGCAGACAAAAGGAGAUAAUUCUUCAUGCAAUAUAAAUUUAUAGUUGUUCUCAUCUAAGGAAAAAAAUUUCCUUGGGUUCAAAGUCAGACUGGACAGGUACUUGGAGAAAAGACCCACUGAAGGUAACUAAAUAGACAUACUACCUCAGGCCCUAAAAGAUGACUCCUAAGCUGAAAAAACUUGGACACCUGGGAGGUCUUAAGGAGAGAAGAAUCAUAUAUGCUUGCCUUGUUCUUACUGAUCCUGAAUCAUCUAUUUAUGGACUCUGUUGCAGAAGGAAGAUCAGGUAAGAUGGACAUUCACUCUGAACUGAUACCGCCAUUCCUAUGGCCACUCCUGUAUCCCAUGGUGAUAAAGGCAGAUGAAAACACUACCCAUGACUGAUAGACACCAAAUUUUUAUAUGACUAAACUAGGUAAAGUGAAGCCCUCAUCUUGUAUAUGUAACCUGCAGAGAUCUGCUUAUCUUUUUCCUUUUCCAUUCUUUUUCCUUUUUCCAUUUUGAAGUAGUUCACAGGGUCUUGGACAAGUACUAGUCCCUAGUUCUUCCACUCCACUUUCCUCAUGUUUUCUGGUUAGGUUUUGGAGGAAUUUUUUGUUGUUUUGUUUUUCUCAGGAGAAUAAUGUCCUGGUUCCAAACUUUCCACUUCCAAAUGACAAAUACUAUUUCACCCAGUAUCUUUUAUUACACAUAGUCAGUAUGAUGCCAUUCAUUUCCUAGUAGCUAAACACUACCAAUCUCCAGCAGCAUGGUUUAAGAAAUAUAUGUAUUUAUUUAAAUGUGCUCUCCCUCUGCAUGAGGUAGAGGGUGUGAAUGUGUGUACAUAUAUACCUGCCCAGCUAUGCAGGAGAAAAUACACUUCAGCUCUUGCAGCGGCAGCUUAAAAAUGCAUCAUCCUUUCUAGAAACUGGCAAGACUCUAGAUUGUGAGGUGGCUGAAAUUUGCUCUCUGCUAUGAUAAACUUAAAAAAUAAUUUGUAUUCCAAAUACUGCUUAUUAACAGCAUUUUUGUCUACAGGGUGUCUGAAUAGAAAGUACCAGCUACUUGAGAGCAGUGUCAGAGACAGGACAUGCGUUUUUAGGACAGAUUUGUCAACAACUCAUAAAAUCUAAUUUCUAACCCCAAUGGACUAUAUCACAAAAGAACAGUGAUUAGUUUAGUGAACUAUAUACAUAUGUAUCAGCAGAUGACUGCCAGUGGGGGAAUACACUUUAAGAAACCUGAGGUAAAUCAUGAAGAAUAAGGCAGGACUACAGAGGCAAAUCUAAAGGGUUUUUUUAACCAUUAAAAAGAACUCCAACUUCACAGAGUUGUUCAGGUUUUUUCUUUCUCUGCUUUGUGCAUGGCUCUGUGUGUGCAUAUUUCUUUACUGCUAGAGGAAUUUUUUUUUUUUAAAUAGAAGACUAACUCCUCAAUAAAAGAGAAUACCUUGUCCAAAAAAGUCAAAAUGUGUAAAGUGUUAAGUGAAAAUGUCCUGCAUUUCCUUCCCUAGCCUUAAAUCCCUCCAUCUCUCUGCUUCUGUUUCUAAGAAUGUCCGAAUUCUACCACGUAGACAAUGAUAGUAUAAGGUCAUUGUACUAGGUAAAGUCAGUAAAAGCUCAUGUAUACAGUUAGUUGACAUCAAUAAGAGUUCUUAUGCUCAAAAUAUGUACAGAUAAUGUGUAUAAGAUUGCACAGACAUCCGGCAGAGAGAAAUUUUUACUUAUAUCCAGUACUGAGACAGACAGUAAGAUUGCCGUCUUCAGAGCUACAAAAAAGAACUCAUAUGGUUAUGCCGAACAUGUGGUUACUCAAGGAAGAUGUUUCUCAAGGACUGCCAGGACAGCAAAAACACAACCAGGACUCCUUUCUUAUUUACAUGUUUAGUGGUUCACAAUAGCGGAAUUCAGGGCCUGCUAUCUAUUAUAAUAGAGGGACUAUGUAAGUCAUGGCAUCAUCUGGUUUUAAGACCCAUAGCUGUUGUUCUUUUCCAUCAAGGACCAGACAGAGAGGCAUGAGGCUCCAUGUAAUUAUGAGCAUCUAAACCACUGUGGCAAGGCAAGCAGGAGGGUUUUCAUGGGCAAGUAAGACUGACUGCAGUACUUUAGAGACAUGAUUGUAAACAGAAGAAGCAGACCAGAGAACAUUUAACAGGAAAAUAUCAUCCUGACCCUCUCUGGAUUAAAUGCUAUCAAUCAAGUUUAAAUUUAGCUCCUACAUGGUCCCAGAUGAAAAGAAGGCAGUCAGGACAAGGAAAGCUUAACGCCUGAGAAUAUUUGUAUUGCACAGCAAGGAAAACAAGCCUAAAGUCAACAAAGGGCAGCCUGUAAAAACAAAUAGGCCUGAUGAGAAUGGCGCUGCCACCAGAAAGCUCAUUAGCAGCCAGAAGUAGAAGAAAUGUCUCUCUGCUCUUUCUUUGCUGACUGCCCCCAGCCCAGCGCUACCACAGUGUUUCUGACUCAACUGCUGCCUCCCUUCUAGUAUAACCCAUGAGCACUUGCCAGUACCCACACAAUGUACGCCCUCAGCAUGAAAAGUGUUUCCCUGGGGUGGGCUGGGCUGGACUAUACUGGGAGGCAGGAAUGGAAAAAAAGCAGGAAAUAUCUGAGCUUUUUCAAAUGUGUAUAUACACAUAUACAUAUACACCCACAUAGUAAUUGUCUUUAUCUGUCCUAAGAUAAACCAGCAGAAGAAAAAGUCUGGGGGUAAAAUGAUGGGAAUAAACACUGCCAUGCCCACCAACAAACACACGGGAUUUCAGAAAUCAUGUGAAUUCCAAAACCAAUGUACCAUCUGUCAUCACCUAUUCACUGUGGGGGCAGUCACAGCUGUAGGGCAAUGAGACACUCUACUUCCUCCCAGUGCAUGGGAAAACACAGUCAUGCAUUUGGACAGAACUGAGAUAUCUGGUGAUCAGUAAAGAACAAGAUACAAUUUUUUUUUUUUUUUUUUCAGCCUGGAGAGACAAAAUAUAAUUUUCACAAAUCUUCAUUUAGGUAUCUGAACGUGAGCAAUUGCAUGAUGGCAAAGCCCAUUCAUACAGCAGUUUGAGAUUUUGCAUCUGUGAUUUUCAUGCUGUUCACAACCAUCUGCUUUGGAGGCCCAGUUCACCUUAAAGUGUGGUGGAGUGUCAGGUCUCCCAGGAAAUAAAGUCAUACCUGCAAAGGUUGUAAGGGAUGUCUAUCAUCCUAUACUUGUUUGCAAAUUCCCUUCUAUCCUUUUGUCUUCUCUGUCCAUACCAGCAAACUGCUAUGUAGAAAAAGGUAAAAUUUUAUAUAAAGUUCCUCAAAUGUAGUAAGUUGAAAGGGCACCUCUGUUCUCUACAGCAAUCUGAAUACUUUUCUGCAUUGUCAUAUUACCUUUCACCCUCUCAGCUGUACUGCAGUACUUUAUUCCUUUCCCCCUCAUGCCCACUCAUGCAUAUAAGCAGAUAACACCUGGAUAGUUUCCAAGUACUUGGACUACUGGUAUAUGUAUGUACGUAAACACAUUGCACAGACACAGUGUGCUCAUUUUUUAUGAGCUUUGCUGGUUUGCCUGUAUUAGAGGAGGCUGGGAUUAAUAAACGCAUUACCUAAA